rnacentral:rRNA from 1 species
UACGGAGGGUGCAAGCGUUGUUCGGAAUCACUGGGCGUAAAGGGCGUGUAGGCGGUCCGCUAAGUCUGAUGUGAAAGCCCGGGGCUCACCCCCGGAAGGGCAUUGGAAACUGGCGGACUCGAGUCCCGGAGAGGAAGGUGGAAUUCCUGGUGUAGCGGUGAAAUGCGUAGAUAUCAGGAGGAACACCAGUGGCGAAGGCGACUACCUGGCCUGUUCUUGACGCUGAGGCGCGAAAGCUAGGGGAGCAAACGGG